rnacentral:tRNA from 1 species
GGUGAAAUGGCCGAGUUUAGGCAAUAAAUUGUAAAUUUAUUCACGGGGCUUUCUCUUUCACCA